UGGCAGAAUUACGUGUUUAUUGUCGUUUAUGAGACACACGGCUCCCUAACUUGAUAUAGGGACUAACUAAUUCGGGAUUUGAGAGCUAGUUACCUUUCCAUACAAGGAGAGUGGGUAGAGCGAACCAAUUAAGUUUAGUCCCUUCGAAUCUAAAUCCACUUUGCCCAUCGAGAAAGGUUGAUCAAAGCAGCAGAGAGAUGAGAAGCGGAUAAGCCAUGCCAUCAAGUAUGCCUCCUCAGAGGCUGCGUUGCAUGGAGGCCUCCCCUCACUGUUGCUCUUUCUUGGGUUCCACUCCACCAAAUCUCUCGCAUCCCGGUUCUAUCGAGCUGGUCGUUUCCUGCCCUCAUGAUUUCUUGGCCUUGCUUGGCGUUCUUGGCUGUUUUGGCAUGGUUUUGAUGUUUUAUGCUUCCGAAUCUGAUUCGCUUCUUCCCGUACUGUUGUGACCUCAAAUUCUAGCAAAGGAUGAAAUGGUGGUCUUGAUCUGAACAAUGCUGAACCCUCUCCCAAGUGAGAAACAAGCAGAUGGAAGAGAUGGCUACUCGGUCACAUCUGGUUGUUUCCUUGAAGGCAAUUCAUUCUUGGCUUAUCGACGAUGAUGGUCUUAUCAUCAUGUAACAUUACAAUGAUGGUGAAAGUCCUGCAUGCUAUGGUGAUUGUGGAUGUUUGUUUACUGACUGAUUGCUGUGCAAAAUGUUGAGUCCAUUAUUUUUCAGAUACGUUUGAUCUCUGUAGAAACAGAUCAUGAAGAUUUCAGUGGGAAUUUCCCGGUGGUAACUUGAUUUUA